rnacentral:misc_RNA from 1 species
GUAGGAGCCGGCUUGCUGGCGAUAGGAUCGGCGCGGUCUGCCUGACAAACCGCGUCGUUCAUAUCGCCAGCAAGCCGGCUCCUAC